rnacentral:rRNA from 1 species
AGCGAACGCUGGCGGCAGGCUUAACACAUGCAAGUCGAGCGGGCACUUCGGUGCCAGCGGCAGACGGGUGAGUAACACGUGGGAACGUACCCUUUGGUUCGGAAUAACGCUGGGAAACUAGCGCUAAUACCGGAUACGCCCUUUUGGGGAAAGGCUUGCUGCCGAAGGAUCGGCCCGCGUCUGAUUAGCUAGUUGGUGGGGUAAUGGCCUACCAAGGCGACGAUCAGUAGCUGGUCUGAGAGGAUGAUCAGCCACACUGGGACUGAGACACGGCCCAGACUCCUACGGGAGGCAGCAGUGGGGAAUAUUGGACAAUGGGCGCAAGCCAGAUCCAGCCAUGCCGCGUGAGUGAUGAAGGCCUUAGGGUUGUAAAGCUCUUUUGUCCGGGACGAUAAUGACGGUACCGGAAGAAUAAGCCCCGGCUAACUUCGUG